UACGGGGGGGCAAGCGUUGUUCGGAAUUACUGGGCGUAAAGGGCUCGUAGGCGGCCAACUAAGUCGGACGUGAAAUCCCAGGCUCAACCUGGGAACUGCGUCUGAUACUGGAUGGCUCGAGUUCGGAGAGGAAGCGGAAUUCCAGGUGUAGCGGUGAAAUGCGCAGAUAUCGGAAGAACACCGUGGCGAAGCGGUCUCUGGACGUACUGACGCUGAGACGCGAAGCGUGGGAGCGAACAG
rnacentral:rRNA from 1 species